UGGGGAAUCUUGGACAAUGGGGGCAACCCUGAUCCAGCGAUGCCGCGUGGGUGAAGAAGGCCUUCGGGUUGUAAAGCCCUUUAGGCUGGGAAGAAGAAUGCGGGGUGAAUAAUCCUGUAUUUUGACGGUACCAGCAGAAUAAGCACCGGCAAACUCUGUGCCAGCAGCCGCGGUAAUACAGAGGGUGCGAGCGUUAAUCGGAUUUACUGGGCGUAAAGGGCGCGUAGGCGGUUAUAUGAGUGUGAUGUGAAAGCCCCGGGCUCAACCUGGGAAGUGCAUCGCAAACGAUAUAACUGGAGUAGUUGAGAGGGUGGCGGAAUUUCCGGUGUAGCGGUGAAAUGCGUAGAUAUCGGAAAGACAUCAGUGGCGAAGGCGGCUUCCUGGACUCAUACUGACGCUGAGGCACGAAAGCAUGGGGAGCAAACAGGAUUAGAUACCCCAGUAGUCCCUGAGCGGGCUGGCAAGGCGCAU
rnacentral:rRNA from 1 species